UACCCACCUGAGAGGAAAGAAAAACAAAAUAUAGAGCAUUUCAUUCUUCUCAAAAGUUUCAAAUGAGCAAGAAAGGUAUGUAUCCCCUCAAAAGAGCACAAGUAGAAUUAGACUUUCACCAUUGUUAACACCAUCAUCACCAUACACCAUUCAUUCGCCACACAUGCACAUCUUGAUUUGACUUAUUGACUUGUUUCUUUGGAUCCAUGGUUUGACUAUGCAAUAAAUGUCUAGUAAGUAUGUAUACUUUAUCUCCCACUUAUGAGCUCCAG
rnacentral:lncRNA from 1 species